AUUUUCGUUGUGCUGACUUUUUCAAUCACUUACAAUAACUCGUACUGCGUUCUAGCUAGCACGACGGAGUUUCUAUACAGCUGUGUGCGCAUGUUGAACUUUAUGACAGCCUCCCCUGUCAUUCUCUCGCCUGUUGAAACUUCAGUCAUGAAACUGAUCAAUGAUCGGCGUUUCUCUCUUGUUUGUUUAUCGCGCAAAACAACAGCAGCACGUUUAAGCUUGAUCAGCUGUUGUUCGAAUUCAUUUCCUUUUAAUUUCUGGUAUCAGCUGAUGUUUGCUGGAGCUACAGCUGUAAAAACGGCACAUGUCCUUACUGAAUCAUCGGAGCUGAACUGGUGAUGGAGAAACAGGUUUACUCUUUAGGUGACAUGAAUAAGUUGAAGGGAAGUUAUGAACUAUUUUUGAGAGACAAAUACAGGGAGUGCAGAAUUAUUAGGCAAGUUGUAUUUUUGAGGAAUAAUUUUAUUAUUGAACAACAACCAUGUUCUCAAUGAACCCAAAAAAACUCAAUAUCAAAGCUGAAAGUUUUUGGAAGUAGUUUUUAGUUUUAGCUAUUUUAGGGGGAUAUCUGUGUGUGCAGGUGACUAUUACUGUGCAUAAUUAUUAGGCAACUUAACAAAAAACAAAUAUAUACCCAUUUCAAUUAUUUAUUUUUACCAGUGAAACCAAUAUAACAUCUCCACAUUCACAAAUAUACAUUUCUGACAUUCAAAAACAAAACCAAAACAAAUCAGCGACCAAUAUAGCCACCUUUCUUUGCAAGGACACUCAAAAGCCUGCCAUCCAUGGAUUCUGUCAGUGUUUUGAUCUGUUCACCAUCAACAUUGCGUGCAGCAGCAACCACAGCCUCCCAGACACUGUUCAGAGAGGUGUACUGUUUUCCCUCCUUGUAAAUCUCACAUUUGAUGAUGGACCACAGGUUCUCAAUGGGGUUCAGAUCAGGUGAACAAGGAGGCCAUGUCAUUAGUUUUUCCUUCUUUUAUACCCUUUCUUGCCAGCCACGCUGUGGAGUACUUGGACGCG
ensembl:lncRNA